rnacentral:rRNA from 1 species
GAUGAACGCUGGCGGCGUGCCUAAUACAUGCAAGUCGAACGAAACUUCUUUAUCACCGAGUGCUUGCACUCACCGAUAAAGAGUUGAGUGGCGAACGGGUGAGUAACACGUGGGCAACCUGCCCAAAAGAGGGGGAUAACACUUGGAAACAGGUGCUAAUACCGCAUAACCAUAGUUACCGCAUGGUAACUAUGUAAAAGGUGGCUAUACUACCGCUUUUGGAUGGGCCCGCGGCGCAUUAGCUAGUUGGUAGGGUAAAGGCUUACCAAGGCAAUGAUGCGUAGACGAAUUGAGAGGUUGAUCGGCCACAUUGGGACUGAGACACGGCCCAAACUCCUACGGGAGGCAGCAGUAGGGAAUCUUCCACAAUGGGCGAAAGCCUGAUGGAGCAACGCCGCGUGGGUGAAGAAGGUCUUCGGAUCGUAAAACCCUGUUGUUAGAGAAGAAAGUGCGUGAGAGUAACUGUUCACGUUUCGACGGUAUCUAACCAGAAAGCCACUGCUAACUACGUG